GAUGAACGCUGGCGGCGUGCCUAAUACAUGCAAGUCGAGCGAACAGACGAGGAGCUUGCUCCUCUGACGUUAGCGGCGGACGGGUGAGUAACACGUGGAUAACCUACCUAUAAGACUGGGAUAACUUCGGGAAACCGGAGCUAAUACCGGAUAAUAUUUUUAACCGCAUGGUUCAAUAGUGAAAGACGGUUUUGCUGUCACUUAUAGAUGGAUCCGCGCCGCAUUAGCUAGUUGGUAAGGUAACGGCUUACCAAGGCGACGAUGCGUAGCCGACCUGAGAGGGUGAUCGGCCACACUGGAACUGAGACACGGUCCAGACUCCUACGGGAGGCAGCAGUAGGGAAUCUUCCGCAAUGGGCGAAAGCCUGACGGAGCAACGCCGCGUGAGUGAUGAAGGUCUUCGGAUCGUAAAACUCUGUUAUUAGGGAAGAACAAAUGUGUAAGUAACUAUGCACGUCUUGACGGUACCUAAUCAGAAAGCCACGGCUAACUACGUG
rnacentral:rRNA from 1 species